ACCAGGAUGGCCGAGUGGUUAAGGCGUUGGACUUAAGUUCCAAUGGGCAGAUGUCCUCGUGGGUUCUAAACCCCACUCCUGGUA